CGCGUAGACGGGAUAAUAAGUUAGUUGUGAAAUACUUCGGCUUAACUGAAGAAAUGCAACUAAAACUGAUAUUCUUGAGUGCAGGAGAGGAAAGCGGAAUUCCUAGUGUAGCGGUGAAAUGCGUAGAUAUUAGGAGGAACACCAGUGGCGAAGGCGGCUUUCUGGACUGUAACUGACGUUGAGGCGCGAAAGUGUGGGGAGCAAACAGGAUUAGAUACCCUGGUAGUCCACACCGUAAACGAUGGAUACUAGGUGUAGGGGAGAUUAACUCUUCUGUGCCGUCGUAAACACAAUAAGUAUCCCACCUGAGUAGUACGACCGCAAGGUUAAA
rnacentral:rRNA from 1 species